rnacentral:lncRNA from 1 species
AAGAAGAAUAGGUUGAACAUCAAGCGGAAGCUCGCAUCAAAGCAUGCUAAGGAAAAUCAUCAUAAAUGAACCCAAGGGUAAAAUCGUCAACGUCGUUAUAACUUUUUAUUUAUCAGGAAUUUCACGAACAAAAAUAAAACGGGUAUCGCUCAUUUUUCGUAAGGAAUCAUAAUAUGCAGAGUAUCGCAGCAAAAGGCGAACCGAUUAUAUGUAUGGAGACACAUAACCGUGAGUAUAUCACUUGAUUCAUAUUCAAAGUAACUUCACAUCAAGACUUUAUCGAUAAAAAGGAAAUACGAUAAAGUAAAUACGUCAUCUAAUGAUCCCCCACCAGCACCAGACCAAUCUCACUCCUCGCUUAGCCUGCACAUUUAGAAAUACAUGCAGGGCGUGAGUACAUAAUACUCAGUGGGCAAAUGCCGAAAAACAAGAAAGGUGCUCUUAGAGCUAUAAGUUUGAAGCUUGCCACCUCUCAGCAAUACACAGAAAUAAGUUAGCAUCAAUGAAUCUGUGCAUGCAGUUUUCAUAAUCAACAUCAUAAAUAAGUAACUGCGCAGUUUAAACAUUCAUCAUGUAUGUACCACAUCCACUACUCAUCAUCAAAGGUACUGAGAAGUAGGCCUCCCUCUCAAGUACCGUGACCGGCCGACCCGAAGACGGCUCACAGUCACCUCUGUGCACAAAAUCCCGCUUGAGGCAGGACCGAAUUCGUCUCAUCUCAUCAGUAGAGGGUAACAUACAAGCUCAACAUCAAAAAAAUUGGCAAGUCAAACAGUUCUCAAACAUCAUUUAUCUCAAAACAUUUGUUAAUCUCAUAACAUCAUCAAAUCAUUUUAGAAAGUUCAUAUGAUAAACAUAUACUCAAAAUAUUGCCCACCUGAAGACCUUACUCAAAAUCUCCCGUCAAAGCGGAGUUACUUACUUCCUUGCUCUGCUCGUGUC